ensembl:lncRNA
CCCCCUGCUGGUCACUACAGAGAAAUAGAGUCAUUUCCUCAUAGACGUCUAUGGGAGCAGAGGAGUCGCCCCCUGCUGGUCACUACAGAGAAGUAGAGUCAUUUCCUCAUAGACGUCUAUGGGAGCAGAGGAGUCGCCCCCUGCUGGUCACUACAGAGAAGUAGAGUCAUUUCCUCAUAGACGUCUAUGGGAGCAGAGGAGUCGCCCCCUGCUGGUCACUGCACAGAAUGCAGCUUUAACACACUAGACAGAGGACGCCGCCUGACACUUUAUAUUACAAAUACUCACUUCGUUGGGAGGAGGGGAGAGGUUGGAGUGACAGGUGGAGCUGGACUCGCCCACAGAGGGACUCAUUUUAAAACACGGCCCCAUGUUCCCUCCUCUGACUCCUUUUAUUCUUUCUCAAACGUUCUAAAUUCAAAUAAAGCAGCAAAUCCCUUUUCUAUGUGUGAAAACCUGAGCAAGGAAUCUACUCUUCUACUCUGUGUGCUUGAGUAGAGGCGUAUCUCCAUAUGUUACAUUUACAUGUUCACACUGAGGUCCGUUUUAUUAGCUCUACAUCCAGCGAAUGAGUCUUUUUCUCCUGAAGGCCUUUGGAGGUUCGGAGGAGGAACGAAGUUGCUUCAGAUGCUUCGUUUGACAGGUGAGCCGUCUGCUAUCUGAGGCUCUCCAUUCAGAUAUUUAACGGAUACGCCUUAAAUAAUUAAUAUUAAGAUGUGCAUGAAAGUUUAAACAGGAGAUUCUCCAGAAAUGUAUGAGAUCCGAUAGAUAAUUUACUGGAAGAACUUGAGCAACAAAUAUAAAGAGCGAUGACUGUUGAGGUAGGAGAGCUUCUUUUUACGUACAUUAAAAGCAGCAGUAGGCUACUUGUCACAACCAGCAAAGGAACUUCCUGUUGGAAUCGCUGGUUCUUUGAGUAUCGAUACACAGCGUUUGUUUCUUUAUUUAUUCCUCUUGUCUUUUCUUCUUUGUUUGGUUUGUGUGCUUUUAUUUUGGCGUCACUCUGCUGAACAUCAUUGGAGAGACGCGUUGAUCACACGCAAUGAUUAUUAAUGGCAAUUCAUUAUUCCGGAGGGAGCACACCUCCCUCCCUCCUCGCUCUCUCCUCUCCUUCCAUUCUUUUUCAUUAGGCUCGGGAGG